rnacentral:rRNA from 1 species
UCCUACGGGCGGCUGCAGUGGGGAAUAUUGGACAAUGGGCGAAAGCCUGAUCCAGCCAUGCCGCGUGGGUGAAGAAGGCCUUAGGGUUGUAAACCCCUUUCAGCGGGGAAGAUAAUGACGGUACCCGCAGAAGAAGUCCCGGCUAACUCCGUGCCAGCAGCCGCGGUAAUACGGAGGGGACUAGCGUUGUUCGGAAUUACUGGGCGUAAAGCGCGCGUAGGCGGAUUUGCAAGUCGGGGGUGAAAGCCCGAGGCUCAACCUCGGAACUGCCCUCGAUACUGCAAAUCUCGAGUCCGAGAGAGGUGAGUGGAAUUCCUAGUGUAGAGGUGAAAUUCGUAGAUAUUAGGAAGAACACCAGUGGCGAAGGCGGCUCACUGGCUCGGUACUGACGCUGAGGCGCGAAAGCGUGGGGAGCAAACAGGAUUAGAUACCCUAGUAGUCG